rnacentral:rRNA from 1 species
UACGGGGGGUGCGAGCGUUGUCCGGAAUCACUGGGCGUAAAGGGCGCGUAGGUGGUUUGAUAAGGGUGUGGUGAAAGUCCGGGGCUCAACCCCGGAUCUGCCGUGCCGACUGUCAAACUCGAGGACUGUAGAGGCAGACGGAAUUCCGGGUGUAGCGGUGGAAUGCGUAGAGAUCCGGAGGAAGACCGGUGGCGAAGGCGGUCUGCUGGGCAGUUUCUGACACUGAGGCGCGACAGCGUGGGGAGCAAACAGGA